UACGGGGGGGGCAAGCGUUGUUCGGAAUUACUGGGCGUAAAGGGCUCGUAGGCGGCCAACUAAGUCAGACGUGAAAUCCCUCGGCUUAACCGGGGAACUGCGUCUGAUACUGGAUGGCUAGAGUGUGGGAGAGGGAUGCGGAAUUCCAGGUGUAGCGGUGAAAUGCGUAGAUAUCGAGAGGAACACCUGCGGCGAAGGCGGGUUGCUGGGCCGACACUGACGCUGAUGCGCGAAAGCCAGGGGAGCGAACGGG
rnacentral:rRNA from 1 species